CUGCCCUCAAGCGCGGCUUGUGUGUUGGGUGUGGCCCCCCCAUUUACGGGGGGACCUGCCCGAAAGGCAGCGGCGACGCCCCGCCUAGGUCCUCGAGCGUAUGGGGCUUUGUCACCCGCUCGGGAGGGGCCUGCGGGCGUUGGUCAUCCACUAUAUUUUCCACGG
rnacentral:misc_RNA from 1 species